AGAACAAUGGAUUUUUGGGUGCAGCUCUUAAGCUUCCUGCUAAUCGGUGUCACAGUGUCCAAAGGAGAAAUUGUGCUCACCCAGUCUCCAGUAUACAUGACUGCAUCUAAUGGGGAGAAGGUCACAAUCACCUGCAGAGCCAGCUCAAGUAUAAGUUCCAAUUACUUGCAUUGGUACCAACAGAAACCAGGAGCUUCCCCUAGACUCCUUAUUUAUAGCGCAUCCUACCUGGCUGCUGGAGUCCGCGGUAGCUUCAUAGGCAAUGGGUCUGAGACCUCUUACUCUCUUACAAUUAGCUGCGUGCAGGAUGAAGAUGCUGCUACUUACUACUGUCAGCAGGGGAGUAGUAGCCCACCCCCACAGUGCUACAGACUGGAACAAAAACCUUUCACUUCCCCUAGGGUACAGAAGUUUUCUCAAAGAGAUGAAAUGUGGCCAAAGGUGUGA